rnacentral:misc_RNA from 1 species
UCCGGUUUUUCACCGGCAGUCUCUUUAGAGUGCUCAGCAUAACCUGAUGGCAACUAAGGACAAGGGUUGCGCUCGUUGCGGGACUUAACCCAACAUCUCACGACACGAGCUGACGACAGCCAUGCAGCACCUGUGUUCCGGUUCCCUUUCAGGCACACCCGCCUCUCGGCAGGCUCCCAGACAUGUCAAGGGUAGGUAAGGUUGUUCGCGUUGCAUCGAAUUAAUCCACAUCAUCCACCGCUUGUGCGGGUCCCCGUCAAUUCCUUUGAGUUUUAACCUUGCGGCCGUACUCCCCAGGCGGUCAACUUCACGCGUUAGCUACGGUACUCAGAAAUCGCUUCCCGAACACCCAGUUGACAUGGUUUAGGGCGUGGACUAC